rnacentral:lncRNA from 1 species
CACCGCGUGAGAGUGAGACUCAGCCAACGUCAAGGCAUGGCUAGAUUUUCAAAUGUAAAAAUAUGUUCAUGUGUGUACUACACUAAACAGCCUUGGCGGUCUCGAUCAGAUGCCUAGGCCAAGGCAUCCCCGGGAAUGAUUUUGGCAGGAGCCAAGUUUUGUGAAAUACAUAAGCCAAGUUGAUUAUUUGAGUAAAUUGAUUAUUGAUGUUA